AGCACGGACUUCGGUCUGGUGGCGAGUGGCGAACGGGUGAGUAAUGUAUCGGAACGUACCUUUCAGUGGGGGAUAACGUAGCGAAAGUUACGCUAAUACCGCAUAUUCUGUGCGCAGGAAAGCAGGGGAUCGCAAGACCUUGCGCUGAUUGAGCGGCCGAUAUCAGAUUAGCUAGUUGGUGAGGUAAAGGCUCACCAAGGCGACGAUCUGUAGCGGGUCUGAGAGGAUGAUCCGCCACACUGGAACUGAGACACGGUCCAGACUCCUACGGGAGGCAGCAGUGGGGAAUUUUGGACAAUGGGGGCAACCCUGAUCCAGCCAUGCCGCGUGAGUGAAGAAGGCCUUCGGGUUGUAAAGCUCUUUCGGCCGGGAAGAAAUCGCACAGGUUAAUACCCUGUGUGGAUGACGGUACCGGAAUAAGAAGCACCGGCUAACUACGUGCCAGCAGCCGCGGUAAUACGUAGGGUGCGAGCGUUAAUCGGAAUUACUGGGCGUAAAGCGUGCGCAGGCGGUUUUGUAAGACAGGCGUGAAAUCCCCGGGCUCAACCUGGGAACUGCAUUAGUGACUGUAUAGCUAGAGUGCGGCAGAGGGGGAUGGAAUUCCGCGUGUAGCAGUGAAAUGCGUAGAUAUGCGGAGGAACACCGAUGGCGAAGGCAAUCCCCUGGGCCUGCACUGACGCUCAUGCACGAAAGCGUGGGGAGCAAACAGGAUUAGAUACCCUGGUAGUCCACGCCCUAAACGAUGUCAACUGGUUGUUGGGAAUUUACUUUCUCAGUAACGAAGCUAACGCGUG
rnacentral:rRNA from 1 species